rnacentral:rRNA from 1 species
UACGAAGGGGGCUAGCGUUGCUCGGAAUUACUGGGCGUAAAGGGCGCGUAGGCGGAUAGUUUAGUCAGAGGUAAAAGCCCAGGGCUCAACCUUGGAACUGCCUUUGAUACUGGCUAUCUUGAGUACGGGAGAGGUGUGUGGAACUCCGAGUGUAGAGGCGAAAUUCGUAGAUAUUCGGAAGAACACCAGUGGCGAAGGCGACACACUGGCCCGUUACUGACGCUGAGGCGCGAAAGCGUGGGGAGCAAACAGG